rnacentral:lncRNA from 1 species
AAGUAAACAUUCUAGUUGAUACAUCAAAUGAUGAAACUACUCCUUCUUAGAUAAUCAAGUACGAACAAUUGCCUGCAUUAGCCAAUAUACCCACAGCUUUGUCAUUAGAAUCACCACCUAUGCUAGAAUUAAAGCCUCUUCCAGCCACACUCAAAUAUGCAUUCCUAGGACCUAAUCACACCCUCCCAGUGAUCAUUGCAUCAGACUUGACCCU